GCCUAGGAAUCUGCCCUGGUUGUGGGGGAUAACGUCCGGAAACGGMGCUAAUACCGCAUACGUCCUACGGGAGAAAGCAGGGGACCUUCGGGCCUUGCGCUAUCAGAUGAGCCUAGGUCGGAUUAGCUAGUUGGUGGGGUAAUGGCUCACCAAGGCGACGAUCCGUAACUGGUCUGAGAGGAUGAUCAGUCACACUGGAACUGAGACACGGUCCAGACUCCUACGGGAGGCAGCAGUGGGGAAUAUUGGACAAUGGGCGAAAGCCUGAUCCAGCCAUGCCGCGUGGGUGAAGAAGGCCUUCGGGUUGUAAAGCUCUUUUGUCAGGGAAGAAACGGCCUGUUCUAAUACAGCGGGCUAAUGACGGUACCUGAAGAAUAAGCACCGGCUAACUACGUG
rnacentral:rRNA from 1 species